UCGAACGGCAGCACGGGUGCUUGCACCUGGUGGCGAGUGGCGAACGGGUGAGUAAUACAUCGGAACAUGUCCUGUAGUGGGGGAUAGCCCGGCGAAAGCCGGAUUAAUACCGCAUACGAUCUACGGAUGAAAGCGGGGGACCUUCGGGCCUCGCGCUAUAGGGUUGGCCGAUGGCUGAUUAGCUAGUUGGUGGGGUAAAGGCCUACCAAGGCGACGAUCAGUAGCUGGUCUGAGAGGACGACCAGCCACACUGGGACUGAGACACGGCCCAGACUCCUACGGGAGGCAGCAGUGGGGAAUUUUGGACAAUGGGCGAAAGCCUGAUCCAGCAAUGCCGCGUGUGUGAAGAAGGCCUUCGGGUUGUAAAGCACUUUUGUCCGGAAAGAAAUCCUUGGUUCUAAUAUAGCCGGGGGAUGACGGUACCGGAAGAAUAAGCACCGGCUAAUUACGUGCCAGCAGCCGCGGUAAUACGUAGGGUGCGAGCGUUAAUCGGAAUUACUGGGCGUAAAGCGUGCGCAGGCGGUUUGCUAAGACCGAUGUGAAAUCCCCGGGCUCAACCUGGGAACUGCAUUGGUGACUGGCAGGCUAGAGUAUGGCAGAGGGGGGUAGAAUUCCACGUGUAGCAGUGAAAUGCGUAGAGAUGUGGAGGAAUACCGAUGGCGAAGG
rnacentral:rRNA from 1 species